rnacentral:snoRNA from 1 species
UUCCCAGCCAGGGAAGAGGUGUUCUUGCUUAUUUGUGAGACUGCCAUCAUUUAACCAUUAUCAGAUUCUGGUUUGGCACAAACAACAUUC